rnacentral:lncRNA from 1 species
UCUGGAUACAAGAGGAGACCAAGAGAGGGCAGCGGUAUGAUGAGAGGCCUCCAAAAUUGUGUCCAGGAAACUGCUGUGGAUAGAGUUUAUGUUCACGCUCAUCUGGGAAAUUGUUCAACAGGUAUCUCUUCUGCAGAACUUGUCAGAGCCUUUAAUAUACGAAUGGGCCAACUCUGAGGCUUGCUCUACACAGGCUACCAGAGGUCCCCAAAAUGUCAGCCCCGGAUGCCCACAACAGCCACCUGGUCAUCAGUGCCCCCCUGUUGGCUCCUUACGCUGCCAAUCUCCACCUCCCCCCACUUUUUCCUGCUUCCUGGAAUCACCUUCCAGAUAAACACUUUCAGCUCCCAGAAAGCUCCACCCCUUAGUCUUUCAGAACCCACAGCCCCAGGACGCCCUCCGGCUUGGACCUUGGAAAGUUCAUGUGCUUCUUCCCCCCUCCCCUGUUGGAAAACACCAGAAAGACCAGGAGGCCCUGUGUCUUCUGGCCUGGGGACAAAGCCUCUCCCGGCUGCCCCCACUCCUCUUGCAGCCCCGCCCUGAGCCUUUGCUGAUACUGUGCCCUCUGCCCAGAUGCCUAUCCCUUCCACCUAACCAAAUCCUCUGGUGGGUCAGAUCCCCCUGGAUGCUGGGGCCCACAGGGACUCUGGAUUACUUAAUAAACCGCAUAAUUCCCGUUCCCAGCCCUCUUUGACUCCCUCUGAUGAUGCACAGGAGGGAGCCUCCCCCCGGGGACUGAUUUAACCCUUUCGGGCCUCCCCCUCGCCCCCUCGUAAGCAAAGGGCCGGCGGCGACGGCUGCGCAGACGCCUCGCUGGAUGAACCGACCACGUUUUGUUUCCCUCCCGCGUGUUUUCGCCGCCCGCCUGCUAUUUGUGACAGGUGCGAGCCGCUCUCCAUUUCCAGGAGGGAGGCGGAGACUGUGUUUUCAAAGACACGGACUUGAGAGGACGUGAGGCAGCUGGAAGGCAAACACCAAACAAACCGCGGAACAGUGAUGGCUGCCACAGAGCAGGGGCUGGAGGUCAUGACCCUGUACUCUGGAGCAGACGCUGUGGCCGAGCUGCCUCCGAGGCGUGGAGAUUCUGGAAGGAAACGCAGGCUGGGGAGGAGGAACGAGUUCUGGCAGAGCGGGGACAUUUGGUGACAGCCGCUCGUGUGCGGAGAGCUGUCCCAGGGGCCCGGGGACGCGGAGGCUCAGCCGGACAGAAACCCACUCAGGUCCCUGGGGUCAGGGGGAAUCCAGGGAGGAACUCAGGAGGGGGGCUAAGUGGGGAGAUUGGAAGAAGGGACAUUCAAAACGGGGCUAAUUGGGGCGCCUGGGUGGCUCGGUCGGUUAAGCGUCCGACUUCGGCUCAGGUCAUGAUCUCGCGGUCCGUGGGUUCGAGCCCCGCGUCGGGCUCUGUGCUGACAGCUCGGAGCCUGGAGCCUGUUUCGGAUUCUGCGUCUCCCUCUCUCUCUCUGCCCCACCCCCGCUCACACUCCGUCUUUUUCUCCAGAAAUAAGUCAACAUUAAAAAAAUUAAUUAAACGGGGUGAGAGGAGGAGUAGGAGCCUGCCAGGCACAAGGCAGGAGGCAGAGGGAGCUGCCGGGUAGAGCAAAGGCCGGGCGCCCGGAUGGUGUCUUGCGAGGUGACCCGUGUGGCUGGGGCAGAGGGUGACAUGGGGCAGGGAGGACGUGGACAUUGCUGUAGACUGAAUGUUGUGCAGUCAGCAGACUGAAAUCGACUCCCCAGUGUGAUGGUAUCGGGGGGGGGGGGCCCGCUGGGAGCCCCCCAUGAAUGCAGCCAAGUCCCCUUCUGAAGGAGACUCCGGAGAGCUCCCUCACGCCUUCCUCCGGGUGAGCACACAGUGAGGAGACGGCCGUCCCUCCAAACCGGGAGCAGGCCCUCCCCAGACAUUGAAUCUGCAGCGCCUUGAUCUCGGACUUCCAGCCUUCGAAACCGAGAAGGAAAUGUGUGUUUCUAAGCCACUUGGUCUGUGGAAUUCUGUUAUAACGGCCCUGAUAGACUAAGGCAGAGAUUAACGAUGCCAGGGAGGUCCGGAGGGCUUCUGGGAGGAGGUGACAUUUGAACAGAGACUUGGAGGAGGAGCUGGCCGUGGGGGAGGUGUGGGGAGAAGAGCAU